UACCGGCUGCCUGCUGGGAGCCAGGCAGUUCCACAGUGGAACAAGCUUAACUUCCCUCAGCUGAAAGGAAUGCUCACCCCUCUGGCCAGCCUGCUGUCAGUGUGUACACUUGAAGACUCAGGGCCUCUCCUUGCUCAGCGCCACCUGUUCUUACACCGGUCUCUGACUUCUCAAAACUGGGUGCCGGAGAACGGGGGCUGGAGACGGACAUCUAUCCUGACAUCUUGAAUGAGACCCACGGAGGCGGUGAUUGAUGCAAAAGCAAGAGGAGUUUAAUCAUUUCGACAUGUUGGGACCACCCACUUCAAGGGGAGAUGACCCUGAACAGACUCUAACAGAACUAAGAAUACAGACACCUUGUUUGACACAGCCAUCCCCUGACACAUCCAAUAUGUCUCUGAGUCACCAGCCCAGCCUUUUGACAGUCUCAAAGAAAGACCAACCAAGAAAGUCCUUCAAUAGAAAAGACGCGGAUACACAUUUGAGCAUGGACUUUCAUCUGUUCAGUGCGCAGACCACCGAUUGGUAUUUCAUUACUGGUAACCCGAGCAAGCAGGCAAACAGGCCUUUCCAAUCUCCAAACACAACUUUUAGUUUAGAAAAUUCCAAAUAAAGCAGAAUAAUCAA
rnacentral:sRNA from 1 species